UAAAGAUGCUUGCAAAAUUCAUUCGUCCAUUUGUUUAUUUAUUUAUUUAACAUGUAUUUAAUGAACUCCUAGUAUUGGCGGGAACUCUUCUAGACCCUGGGAAUACAGUAGAGAAUAAGACAGAGAAGACUAGUGCUCUCAUGGAGCUGAUGUUUCACUGGAAGUGUUAUUAUCAAGCUAUGGAAGCGGUAAAGACCUCCUUUGUGCUAAAGGUGGAGAGCCAUUCUGGGAUUCAGUGACUUCUGAGGACCCUUCUGUGUUGCUUAAUUCAGGAGAUGCCUACAGGAGCAGGAAUGAAAGCUGGUUGUCAAUCCAGGUUUAUGAAGAUGCUGGACAGCUUUGUAAUUUCCUGUAUAAGAACUACAGACCAACAGAGGCCAGAGGUGUUUGAGACACAAACCCUAACCAAGAUGAUUCUUGACCUGUGUCCCAUGUCCAAUACAUAUCGGCCUCUCCCAUCACAUCCCAUCUCCUGAAUGUAAUUGCUGUCUUGAACAUUUAAAAUCAGUUAUGGGCACUGGUAUCAACAUUAA